rnacentral:lncRNA from 1 species
UUUCCACAACCAGAGAAGCAAGAACACAGCCACGGAAAUGACUCAAGAUUUCCUGAGGAAAUCCACUUGAGAGCCGCUUCCCUCCACCACCUCAGAAACGCCAAGGCGCAUGGAACUUGAGAAGCCCCACUCUUACCAGACCCUGGAUCAUUACUACAGCAGGGUUGGGAACUGGAAUCAGAAACAGAUGUUACCAAUUACACAGGAUGUUUGUGGAGAUGCAGUGAAAUCAUGUGUACAAACCUGG